UACGUAGGGGGCAAGCGUUGUCCGGAAUCAUUGGGCGUAAAGAGCGCGUAGGCGGCCCUGUAAGUCCGCUGUGAAAGUCAAGGGCUCAACCCUUGGAUGCCGGUGGAUACUGCAGGGCUAGAGUCCGGAAGAGGCGAGUGGAAUUCCUGGUGUAGCGGUGAAAUGCGCAGAUAUCAGGAGGAACACCGAUGGCGAAGGCAGGUCUCUGGGCAUUAACUGACGCUGAGGAGCGAAAGCGUGGGGAGCAAACCGG
rnacentral:rRNA from 1 species